rnacentral:rRNA from 1 species
UACGUAGGGGGCAAGCGUUGUCCGGAAUCAUUGGGCGUAAAGAGCGCGUAGGCGGCCCAGCAAGUCCGCUCUGAAAGUCAGGGGCUCAACCCCUGAAUGCGGGUGGAUACUACUGGGCUAGAGUCCGGAAGAGGCGAGUGGAAUUCCUGGUGUAGCGGUGAAAUGCGCAGAUAUCAGGAGGAACACCGAUGGCGAAGGCAGCUCGCUGGGACGGUACUGACGCUGAGACGCGAAAGCGUGGGGAGCAAACAGG